AAUCCUGAAUUGAUCAACUUUUUUCAUUGAUAACACCUGAAAACUUACCUGAGAAUUUUUCUUACUAUGUCUGGGGUGCUCGCUGCCCAUGGAUUCUUUUCUUUUCAAAAUUUUUAUUAUAAAAAUUAAUUUUUCAAAAACUGUGCCAUAAAAUGGCUUUGUUUAAAAUAUUUGUAAAAGACUAGGGUUUUGGCCUUACAAAAAGUAACUAAAUCAUUUUUUAUGGUUUAGGUAUCUUAUAAUAAUUUUCAUAAUUUUAUGGGUUUAAAUUUCACUGUAAUUGCUCACUACGUGCCCGUUCUUCUAUACCUACUAAAUAUUAAAAGAAAUGAAAGAUAAGUUCAAAAUUCUGAGUUUGGGGACCAGUUUCUCAAAUACCCUGCUUUCAGUUUCCGUAUACUUGAUUUUGAAAUUUGUCAAUUUGUUAGAAAAUUGCUUCUGCGGCUUUAAUAAUGUCUUCAAAUAACUCAGGCAAUCUUUUCAUAUCAUUUAGGAAUUUUUUUUUUGAAAAAAACCAACAAAACAUAAAUUGAAGUCUUAAGUAAUUUAAAUUUUAAAAGCAAAAUGGAAGCAGUGCAAUUUUUCAAGCAAUUUUUCAUAGAGAUAAGAGUAUUUUUAAAUUACCGACGUUUGUAAGAAAAGAUCAUGAAUAUCGGAUCUGUUUCCGCCCUAUACAACAUUGUUUAGCUUCAGUUACUCCACUAAAUAAUUUUAUUGUUAAAUUAGCAGGUAAUUUUCUUAACUCUACACAAACGAAACAACAACAAAAUUAGAAUGUGUAAUUCCUUUCGUUUAUCUACAAGACAUGAAAAAUAAAAGAACUAAAUAAAGAAGGAAUUUACAAGGUUUUUGUGACAGACACCAAGAUAUACUUUUCUAUAGGUUUUUUGGGUGCUGAGCUCGAAUCCGAAGUCAAAAAAAUUUUAUCACAUCACGUUUUAUAGAUAAUCCCGUUAGAAUAUCGAAAAUGCCGCUUUUUAUCAGUUUUCAAGGUUAUUUCUUAGCAUUUGUUUAUUUGUUAUAAAUAAAUUUGUAACGGUUUCUAAAAGAACUAAAUCUUGUCUUUCUAAAUCCGUUAAAUCUCUUAAAUAUCUCUUUUCUUCUUCGAGAAACGUUUGUAGUAUUGUAAUUUUUUUUAUGCAGCGGUGCCCCUUUUUCAUUUUGCCACCCGGGCCCUUUUGCCCCAGUCCGACCCUGUACCUACUUGUUUCACCUACCUAAUUAGAUACUCAUGAUUUCAUACCCCAGUUCAACAAGGCAAAAAAAAACACAAACCAAAUCAAUGCGCAAACAAAUAAAACUGUGCAUGCAUUCUUUUUUCCUUGAUUUCCAAAAAAUAUCCCAAAACCAGAUCUCAUUUGUAUAUUCCUAACCCUAACCUAUCCUAUGAAAAAAUAUUAAAGAACAAAAUUUCAUUCAUUGAUCAGGUAGGUAGUACUAGGUACCUACCUACUUUCUUGAAAUGCAUUCACAAUCCUUUUGCAUACCUACACACAAUUACUCAAUCCCACCAUCCAAGGAAACAAAAACAAAACUAAAUUGCAAAAAAAAAAAACAAACAAAUAAAAACAAAAAACCAACCCAAU